rnacentral:lncRNA from 1 species
AAUAAAAAUUUGAUAUUUGGCAUUGUCGAAAAGCUAUAUCUUUUCCUUCUGUACCUCUUUGGCCUCCUCGUCUUGGCAUUUGAGCAUAUACGGAGAGCUAUAAGAAGUUUAAAACCAGUUAAAGUGGAAGCGGUCCUGACAUAAGCUUCUAUUGACAAAGCAGUCAUUAUGUUUGAGUAAGUACUAGACCCUUUAUCCUUUUCUACUGAAAAGUGAAAACUCAUCGAAUAGGAGCUGUUUUCUAACCAUCUGUAUCUAUUCUUUUCGCAGGGGGUUUAUUAUGACCCGUGUAAUCCGCUUGUAAUACCAAUUUCUAUGAAUAUCUAACAAAAGAGUAUAUAGGAGAGAUGCAGCCAUCUCAGUGUCAGUCGAGAAUAUUAUCUUUAAAAAUUUAGGUGUGGAAGGAGUCAAAACAGCCAAAUAUUUAAGGCAUAUACUUGAACACUAAAAAGAAUCAGGCAGAAUAGAGGGAAUAACUAGCAUCUCUCCCCUUGCAUCUACAUAUAUUAUCAUUGUAUUGCUCCCACUCCUUUUCUUUUUCUUGUGUAAAAAAGGCCUACAGUUAAUAUUCAUAGAAAACAAGAUAUCUCCCUGGUAGUUAUAUAUAUAUAUACGGUCCAGAUCAAGUGCAUACCCCUUAUCUUACUCACCCGUGCUCACCCCUUUUUAGCGACGGACCCGACGACGAUUCGGUCAUACAACCGUCGUCUAUACUUUUAGCGACGCUAUAUGUUGUCUGUCGCUAAAAGUAUAGACGACGACGGUUGUAUGACAGAAACCGUCGUCGGAUCCGCCGCUAAAGGGGGGUGAGCACGGGUGAGUAAAAUAAGGGGUAAGCACUUGAUCCUUGCUCUAUAUAUAUAUAUAUAUAUAUAUGGGCUAUAUGUAUACACAGCUGUGUAUUAUACACCAUAUCUCAGAAUAGAUAUAACGACGGGUAAAACCGUUGUCAUAGCCGACUCUGUAAUACUCAGCUGUGUACAUAUAUUUUUUCAUAUAAAUAUUCUUCUUGUGGCCACAUGAUAUCUCACCGUCGAAACGAAGAUUGUUAUUUGGCUAUUAAACACUUGGAUAAACAGUUUGGAUGUUUGGCGAAUAUGGUCAAUUACGCUGUUGCCCCUCUAUUUAAUAAAAUAACUUUAAUAUGAGAGAGAAUUAAUACUUGUACAAUGACAUCCAUGUAAUGUUGUGUGAAUAUUUUAAAAAUAAUAAUAUGUUGAAUGCAAAUAAUGGGAGCCAAAUCAGAUAGCAUGAUAUAUAUAUAUAUAUAUAUAUAUAUAUAUAUAUAUAUAUAUAUAUAUAUAUAUAUAUACACUUCUGUGCAUGAAGUUGCUUAAUUACUUUUCGUUCACAAAACAAAAUCUCUAAAAUUUUACAUAAAACAACUGAAAUUAAAGCAUACUAUGAGAAGAUAGAGGAACUUGCCUGGCAAAAAAUUGCAUAUGAAAUCAUGGGAGUGAUAAUUUUGUUCAAUUGAUCAAUAUAGUGUCGACACAUAAGCCGAAAAGUGAUCUCUCUACAUGUCAAUCAAUUGACCAAUUUGUUAAAUCAUGGAGAGAAAAAUAACUGAUUUAAGAUGAAGAAGUUAGGAGU